UACGUAGGUGGCGAGCGUUGUCCGGAAUUACUGGGUGUAAAGGGCGAGUAGGCGGGCAGGCAAGUCCGCAGUGAAAUCUCAUGGCUUAACUGUGAGGGUGCUGUGGAAACUGCAGGUCUUGAGUGGUGGAGAGGCAGACGGAAUUCCCGGUGUAGCGGUGAAAUGCGUAGAGAUCGGGAGGAACACCAGUGGCGAAGGCGGUCUGCUGGACAUUAACUGACGCUGAGGAGCGAAAGCGUGGGUAGCAAAC
rnacentral:rRNA from 1 species